rnacentral:rRNA from 1 species
GAUGAACGCUGGCGGUGUGCAUAACACAUGCAAGUCGAGCGGAGUUGUCUUCGGACAACUUAGCGGCGGACGGGUGAGUAACACGUGGGUAACCUGCCUUUAGCAGAGGAAUAACUGAGAGAAAUCUCAGCUAAAACCUCAUAAACUCUCAGUGUCGCAUGACACCUAGAGAAAAUAUUUAUAGGCUGAAGAUGGACCCGCGUCUGAUUAGCUAGUUGGUAGGGUAAGGGCCUACCAAGGCGACGAUCAGUAGCCGGCCUGAGAGGGCAACCGGCCACAUUGGGACUGAGACACGGCCCAAACUCCUACGGGAGGCAGCAGUGGGGAAUAUUGCACAAUGGGGGAAACCCUGAUGCAGCAACACCGCGUGAAGGAAGACGGUUUUCGGAUUGUAAACUUCUAUCGAUGGGGAAGAAUAAAUGACGGUACCCAAGUAAGAAGCCCCGGCUAACUACGUGCCAGCAGCCGCGGUAAUACGUAGGGGGCAAGCGUUAUCCGGAAUUACUGGGUGUAAAGGGUGAGUAGGCGGCUAGGUAAGCCAUAUGUGAAAUCCCAAAGCUCAACUUUGGGACUGCAUAAGGAACUGCAAAGCUAGAGUACAGGAGAGGUAAGCGGAAUUCCUAGUGUAGCGGUGAAAUGCGUAGAUAUUAGGAAGAACACCAGUGGCGAAGGCGGCUUACUGGACUGAAACUGACGCUGAGUCACGAAAGCGUGGGGAGCAAACAGGAUUAGAUACCCUGGUAGUCCACGCUGUAAACGAUGAGUGCUAGGUGUUGGGGUGAGAACCUCGGUGCCGCAGCUAACGCAAUAAGCACUCCACCUGGGAAGUACGAUCGCAAGAUUGAAACUCAAAGGAAUUGACGGGGGCCCGCACAAGCGGUGGAGCAUGUGGUUUAAUUCGAAGCAACGCGAAGAACCUUACCAAGGCUUGACAUCCUUCUGACUGAUGUAGAGAUACAUCUUUCCUUCGGGACGGAAGAGACAGGUGGUGCAUGGUUGUCGUCAGCUCGUGUCGUGAGAUGUUGGGUUAAGUCCCGCAACGAGCGCAACCCUUAUCUUUAGUAGCCAGCAGGUAAAGCUGGGCGCUCUAGAGAGACUGCCGUGGAUAACACGGAGGAAGGUGGGGAUGACGUCAAAUCAUCAUGCCCCUUAUGUCUUGGGCAACACACGUGCUACAAUGGCUCAUACAAAGUGAAGCGAAGUCGCGAGGCGGAGCAAAACACAAAAGUGAGUCUCAGUUCGGAUUGUAGUCUGCAACCCGACUACAUGAAGCUGGAAUCGCUAGUAAUCGCAAAUCAGCAUGUUGCGGUGAAUACGUUCCCGGGCCUUGUACACACCGCCCGUCACACCACGGGAGUUGGAAGCACCCGAAGCCUAUGACCCAAGCGCAAGCAGGGAGUAGUCUAAGGUGAAGCCAGUGACUGGGGUG